GAACGCUGGUUCCGUGCCUAAAGAAAGCAAGUCGAACGGAGCAGACGCAAGUCUGUUCAGUGGCAGACGCGCCGAGUAACACGUAGGUGACCUGUCGUCAAGUGGGGGAUAACGUUCCGAAAGGGACGCUAAUACCGCAUGUGGUCACUCGGUCAUACGGGUGAGUAAAGCAGGAAUGCGCUUGAUGAGGGGCCUGCGGCUGAUUAGCUAGUUGGUGGAGGUAACGGCCCACCAAGGCGACGAUGGGUAGCCGGCCUGAGAGGGUGUACGGCCACACUGGGACUGAGACACGGCCCAGACUCCUACUGGAGGCAGCAGUGGG
rnacentral:sRNA from 1 species